AGAGUUUGAUCCUGGCUCAGGAUGAACGCUAGCUACAGGCUUAACACAUGCAAGUCGAGGGGAAACGACAUCGAAAGCUUGCUUUUGAUGGGCGUCGACCGGCGCACGGGUGAGUAACGCGUAUCCAACCUGCCCAUCACUUGGGGAUAACCUUGCGAAAGUAAGACUAAUACCCAAUGAUAUCUCUAGAAGGCAUCUGAAAGAGAUUAAAGAUUUAUCGGUGAUGGAUGGGGAUGCGUCUGAUUAGCUUGUUGGCGGGGUAACGGCCACCAAAGCAACGAUCAGUAGGGGUUCUGGAGAGGAAGGUCCCCCANAUUGGAACUGAGACACGGUCCAAACUCCUACGGGAGCA
rnacentral:rRNA from 1 species